GGGAAGGGGCAGGACAGGUGAAGUUUACCACAGGAGCCAAGGCCUUGAACCCACCAGCAAGGGUUCUUGCUGGAACUCGCAGUAUCUCAUCAUGGUUAGAUGGUGAGAUCUCGCCUGAGGAGAGUGGGGUGGCAGCAGGAGACAGCUCACAAAAGGAACUCCACAAUGUUUGUUUCUGAUGCUCCUGGGGCUGUUGUUAUUCCUGACAGACUCAGAGGGCCAUCCACAAGAACUAGGAUUACCGUGAGGAAUGCAAAAGUCUGGUAGUUUCCCAGGCCGUGGGCGUGAGGCUAUCAUGAGAACUUCUCCAAUGUUGAUAGAGAAACAGAAUCACACAAGUGAAAUGAUCUGCCUGGGGUCUCUAAAGCUGAUUAGCAGCGCAGCCAGAAUUAGAAUCGCCUACUUUGGAGGUCAUUUCUCCAUGCCACCUGCCUGGUAGAGGAAUGUCUGCUGGGUGCUUAGGUUCAUCAAAAAUCCACAAUUUUAGAAUCUCAAAAAUAAAGAUACUAAAUUUUGGAAAAAGCA
rnacentral:lncRNA from 1 species